rnacentral:lncRNA from 1 species
GUGAGUUCCGAGUUCUCCUGCGCCGCCAUCUUCCAGACUCUCCAGAAUUCUCUAGGCUUUGUUUUAAACUGUUUCUUUUUAAAAAGUUGUCUUUCUUCUAUUAGGAUCUGGCUGGCCAUCUUUGUUACAAGGGUUCACAGCUAUUCAUCUGGAUGGUGUUGUCAUAUGUUUCCUGGUGACUUAUGGCUUCUGGCUCAAACUGCCUGAAAGGAAACAGAUGACUGUUCUGUGGCAAAGAAGAUGAACUGAGACUCUUUCCGGCUUGUGAGCUGCCAAAUCCUGCUCACCUUAACCCAGCCCUGCCUGUCCUUCCAGGCCCAGCCCCCUCCUUUGGCACCCUCCCUCAGCACCAUGGUGGUCAUCAAACACCUCACUGACGGACAGGAUGGACUUCUGUAAGAACCAUUUCAUCACAUGUCGUCAAGCACUGUCGACUGUGUGGAAAGAAUUGCACAACUGGAUGCAUCCAUGAGCUCGCUGAGUGUCAAAGCACAUCAAGCUACUUCAAUCCGGACUUCAAGAAUAAAAUUGUUCAGAUUGUAGCGUCUUGUAAAUUCCUGGCAUUGGAUAAAGGAACGUGUUCUGUCUUUGGAAGAAGGAAUAAACAUUUUCUGCAAGGCAAAACUUAUUCUUUCCUCUUCACCUACAAGAAAUCCAGCCAAAGGUGAUGAUGUGUAUAUUCAUGGACAUUCUUGCUUUCCUGCUUGAGAGAACGAUGACGGGGCUGCUGGUACCGUGAUUCCAGCCUUGU